AUUGAACGCUGGCGGCAGGCCUAACACAUGCAAGUCGAACGCGAAAGCUCCUUCGGGAGUGAGUAGAGUGGCGAACGGGUGAGUAACGCGUAGGAAUCUACCCUGUAGUGGGGGACAACCCGGGGAAACUCGGGCUAAUACCGCAUACGUCCUACGGGAGAAAGAGGGCCUCUUCUUGAAAGCUCUCGCUACUGGAUGAGCCCAAGUCGGAUUAGCUUGUUGGUGAGGUAACGGCUCACCAAGGCAACGAUCCGUAGCUGGUCUGAGAGGACGAUCAGCCACACUGGGACUGAGACACGGCCCAGACUCCUACGGGAGGCAGCAGUGGGGAAUAUUGGACAAUGGGGGCAAACCCUGAUCCAGCAAUGCCGCGUGUGUGAAGAAGGCCUGCGGGUUGUAAAGCACUUUCAGCAGAGAAGAAAAGCCUAGAGUUAAUACCUCUGGGUCUUGACGUAACCUGCAGAAGAAGCACCGGCUAACUCCGUG
rnacentral:rRNA from 1 species